CUUUCCCGUAAUCCCUCUUCCUUCUCUUCAGUUACGGAACUAUUAUCAUUGAAUUGAAUCCUCCUUUCAUUUUAUCCGUCUUCCGUUACAGAAAUAAAUACAAAAACGCAUAGAACAAAAAGUCUUAGCCGUUUCAAAUUCUUUGCAAUCAACGAGGUUUAAGUUUCUUUGCAAUCAACGAGGUUACAUGGAAUGAGAUUUUAUUUGAGUCUCAUAAACUCACGCUUAAGACGUUUCUUCUACAUAAGCUCAUAAUCUCACAACUCAUAAACCCACACGCAUCUAGAAAUCUGCCGAACAGGUGCGGAUUUCUCUGCCCAUACAUGUUUUUUGCUUGAGUUAUGUUAUGUCUUCCCGUACAUGUUAUUUCCUCUUAAAGGUGUUUGCUGAGUUACAGAUAGAUACAAGCUUAGUGUCAAUGGUGAGUAACCCUUUUUGGAUUUCGUGUUUUUGGUUUACGUUUUCUGGCAUAAGCUCUCUAAGCAAGGAAAUGGUGUUUCUCGGCAAAACAUAAAUAAAUGGUAUGGUACUAAGUAUUUUUAAUUGUUCUUCCCAACAGAUUAUAUCUUGAUAUCCAUUUCUCGGAUUCAUUAUAAGAUUGACUUUCCCAGAUUAUACCUUAACUUUCUGUAUCUUGAAAGUAGGAAAAUUUGAGUGCUUUACACUUUUGAAUGAAGCAAUGGGAAUCACAUAGAAAAAAUCUGGGGUUAUGUUUCAAUCGGCCUAUGUGAAUUCCAUCAGCUUCAUUCAAACUUGAGAUCAGCAGAUAUAGAUGAUGAAUUGCAUCAGAAAACUAUCUUCACCAACAUCCACUGUGUUGUAUGUAUAUGAAGAAGCAUUGUCAUUCACAUUGACACUACUUUACUCGAAGAAUGGAACAUUACGAGGAUUAAGGAAGUGAAGACAAUUAUGAGUGGGGAUAGUGUUGAAAAGGAUGGUAAUUUUCUUUUUGUCGCAAAACCAGUUUUGUUCUUUCUUGCUUGCUUUUUUGUCUUAGUCACAAUAUGUUAUGGUUUUUCUAUUUUUGUGUUAGGAAACCUGAAUUUUAUUAUAUUAGGAGUCAGCUUAUGAAAUUACUCAAUUAGUAAUCAUAAUCAUGCAGAAUAGAUAACCUCGAAAUAUUAUCAAGAUGUACCACUGCAAGGAGAAUCAAGUUGUGGAAAAAAUUCCUAGCUAGGAUAACAACUUGAUAGGGGCUAAUAACGACAAGAAAAUAUGUGGGUGCUAUCUGAGAUUAGGUUUCGUAUGUCCAUUUGUUUUGAUUUCUACAAAUUAGUUUCUUAUGUCUAUUUGAUUUGAUUGCUACAAAAAGUUUUCUGUGUAUAUGGGUUUUUUUUUUUUUUUUUUUUUUAGAAUUGGUGGAUAGUUCAUGUUAAAUGUCUCCUUUUAAUUCAUGUUGCCUGUUUAUUGCGUUUUUUCUCUCAAACUCACAGAAAGAAUAUUGAGCCUUAAUAAUUCUCAGAAAGAUUCUUUUAGGGGUUCAGGAUGUAAAAAGAGAGAUGGCAAAAGAUCAAAUUCAGUAUGGAAAAACAUGGAAAUCACUUCCCAUAAACUCAUCACUGGAUAUUUCUUCAUAACAACCUGUAUAUCAUAAUUAAAGAUUCUUUUUUGGGUUUUGCUGUUUUCAUCUGUCUCUAAGGGAGGCUGAGAUGGAAUGUGCAAGGAAAUUGUACACAGAAGUCAAACAUCUCCGAUAUGAUGAGGUUUAGUUAUGUAAUUCUCCACAUACUGUUGUCGUCAUAGUUCCAGUUGUUGGCAUGUUAACUUCUUUAAUUAUGAACAAAGAAAUUUAGUGCAUCGUUGAGAGUCUGGAAACAACCAUCGUCUUAACUUAUGAGUUAUCAAUUGUCUUUCUACUUGAAUUUUAAAAAGGGUGUUCUAUAAGUCUAAGCCAUGUCUUAAUGGAGACGCAGACGCUCAGAUUUUUGGAACAAAAAAUAUCAAGAAGUUUUUCUCUAUUCAGCUCCAUCACUUUCAUUUUCGUAUGUUGGUCUACCACAUCUGCACAUCCCACCCAAACCCUCACCAUGCAAUGAAUUCAUUUUUUAGAUGUAUGGAAUUGAGCAUUGCUCUUUGGGGUUCUUCUGCAAAUUAUGUCAGCAAUGAUCUAAUUAGUGGGGACUCCAACCCAGCACCGGUAGUGAUUGCCAUUUGCUUCACUUCUAUGAAGAAUUAAGGUAACCGUCCCUCUUUUUUAAAUUAUGGUUAGAGAUUUCGUCGUAUGAUUGUCUAUAUAAACCAUACUGAAUAACCAAUAUAAUUUACGUGCAAGCAUGUGUGGCCUCUUAAUAGAACAAGUACAAUUCCAUGUAGGAUUACAAAAUAUAAAAGGUAGUGUCUAGCGAGUUUGAUUUCAAUAUUAACCAAUUUAUUCUUGGCAUCUCUCAACAUGGAUCUCUAAUUAUUUCCCGUCCAUAUCUAUGAACUAACUUGCUGAUGGAUUAGACGCACUUUGAUGACAACGCUGACGCUUUGCUGGUAAGUAGGAGAUGGGAAAGAAUCAGGAUUGUUUCAUUAGCAUAUUUUAUGUUUGGGGUCAUCUUUGGGGUCAUCUUCCUUCGUUGUAACAUUAGCAUAUUUUAUGUUUAAAAAGGGAUAUGUAUUCACUAGCUCCCUUGCUAAUAGGGCUUACUUCUUUUGCUUGAAACAAAGUUUAACUUACCCUUUUUAUCCUGUUAAUUUUAGGUAUUUCUGGGGUUCGCAGGUGGGAAAGAAUCAGGCAACAAAGAUUGAGAUGCCACAAGCGAUGUAUAAAUGUGUUGAUUUUUUGUCGCCUCAUAUCAAAAAUAUAUCCAGGUAUAGAAGGCCAUAUUCCUACGGCAAAAUAUAUGACGCAUCGAACUAUUCUUUCACUGAUGAAUGAGGACGUCUCUGCAAUAAAUGAAGUCAUUCUACAAAUGUAUCAGGGAUCAUAUCACUCUUAACAUGGCAGCGGGUAAGGUGGCGGAGGAUUUGGAUAAAAGGUCUACCAGAAAUAUGGGAUGCCCAUUGGAAAGUUUCAAUGCAAUGAAUCCACCGGGGUUGCCGCCAUUUAACUUGGAAGUAAUGGUGGGAUCUCUGCUAAUGAUGCCACAUAAUAUUGUCUCGACUGAUGGACUGUGCAACGGAACCAGAUUGAGUGUGGGAGGACAUGUAAUUGAAGCAACAAUCUUGACCGGAGACAAGCGAGGACAGUUGGUUUUUAGCCCACAAAUAUCACUAACGCCUUGACCGUCGGAUCCCAAUGUGAAAAAUUUUAAGAGACGAUUUCCUAUACAACUCAUAUAGGCAAUGUCAAUAAACAAGUCCCAAGGCCAACCGCUGAAAUACGUUGGAAUCCAUUUGAGGAUUCCGAUUUUCAGUCAUGGGCAACUAUGUGUGGCACUCUUCGAGAUGCACAACAACAAGAAUAAAAGGCUAUUAACUUAAAAGAGCGGAGAAGUCAACAAAACGUAUAUUGAAGUGUAUAUUGAAGUGUAUUCAGAAGUACUUUUUGGUUAUCUACAUAAACGUUGUCAAUAGUAGAUGUCUACCGCCGUC